rnacentral:rRNA from 1 species
GAUGAACGCUGGCGGCGUGCCUAAUACAUGCAAGUCGAGCGAACAGACGAGGAGCUUGCUCCUCUGACGUUAGCGGCGGACGGGUGAGUAACACGUGGAUAACCUACCUAUAAGACUGGGAUAACUUCGGGAAACCGGAGCUAAUACCGGAUAAUAUAUUGAACCGCAUGGUUCAAUAGUGAAAGACGGUUUUGCUGUCACUUAUAGAUGGAUCCGCGCCGCAUUAGCUAGUUGGUAAGGUAACGGCUUACCAAGGCAACGAUGCGUAGCCGACCUGAGAGGGUGACCGGCCACACUGGAACUGAGAAACGGUCCAGACUCCUACGGGAGGCAGCAGUAGGGAAUCUUCCGCAAUGGGCGAAAGCCUGACGGAGCAACGCCGCGUGAGUGAUGAAGGUCUUCGGAUCGUAAAACUCUGUUAUUAGGGAAGAACAAAUGUGUAAGUAACUAUGCACGUCUUGACGGUACCUAAUCAGAAAGCCACGGCUAACUACGUG